rnacentral:sRNA from 1 species
UGAAAUCAGUGCAUUUGAAUCACCGUUUA